rnacentral:tRNA from 1 species
UGGCUCAGUUUUGUAGAGCAUGGUGCUUGCAAUGCCAGGGUUGUGGGUUCGAUUCCCAC